GGGGCGUUAGCUCAGUUGGUCAGAGCAGAGGACUCAUAAUCCUUUUGUCGUGGGUUCAAGUCCCACACGCCCCACCA
rnacentral:tRNA from 4 species